rnacentral:rRNA from 1 species
UACGUAGGGGGCAAGCGUUGUCCGGAUUUAUUGGGCGUAAAGAGCGUGUAGGCGGCUUGACAGGUCUGCUGUGAAAACUCGAGGCUCGACCUCGAGAUGUCGGCGGAAACCGUCUGGCUAGAGUCCGGAAGAGGAGAGUGGAAUUCCUGGUGUAGCGGUGAAAUGCGCAGAUAUCAGGAAGAACACCUAUGGCGAAGGCAGCUCUCUGGGACGGUACUGACGCUGAGACGCGAAAGCGUGGGGAGCGAACAGG